rnacentral:lncRNA from 1 species
GGCUGCAGCACAAGAGAGCAUCUCAUGGAGUUGGGAACCCAGGGGGUUCACGAUGAGGGGCCAUCCCACAGAAACAUGGGCCAUCCACCAAGUCUUCCUGCUCCCGGGAGGCCAGGAGCUUGUGGCUUCUCAGGUGGUAGGAUCAAACAGAUGCAGUAAUCACGAGCGUGCACGCCUCCUCAGGAAGCCCCCACAUUCCAGGAGCAGCUCCAAACGCACUGAGUCAUCGCCUCCUGCCUCGGCAUCUCGCACGUACCUCUCGCAAACCACACGUCCCACACCCACAGCACCUCAUGCUGGCAUAUAUAGACCCUGACCUGCUAACAGUCAUUCUCACUUAUCCCCCUCCCACACGGUCCAAACAACUCCAGCUGCCGAGAAUCCCAGUGCU